rnacentral:tRNA from 1 species
GGAGGAGAGGCAGGUCCGGUGAUCUGUCCGGACUUCAAAUCCGGGUGGGGCCGUGAGACGGUCCCAGGUGGGUUCGACCCCCACUCUCCUCC